AGAUGCAGGAAUAGCAAAUGGCUGACAAACUGUGAAUGAAGUUGUCGCCGAAAAUCCUCGGUCAGAUGAAGGUAGAGCGAAUGCCGGUCAAGUGGUCGUCUUAAAUGUGUUGUCAGUGGUUCCACUACCUGCAAUGCCGGUUGCAAGUGAAUUCCACGCAAGAGAAAGUACAUUUCCAUAUAUGGUUGUAUCUGGUGCGAGUGCAAAAAAUCGUAUUGGCAGGGCACGGAUCGGAACAACUACCUUUGUGUUUAACAGAAUGUCCCCGCAUACUUACUUAUGAAAACUGACCAAACUGCUGCCUUACGUACCGUUUGAAACUGUUAUGACAUAAUAUAUCAAAAUAACCGAGACUUUUAUGUAUUUCACCUAGAAACCAUCACAAUAUAUGCCAUUAUACAUAAGUAAUAAGGGUUUAAGUUAUUAUCAGUAUUUUAAUCAGCGUUUAUUUUUUGUUUCCAAUGCCACUUUGCUUUAAAUGAGCUUUACACUAAAAAUAUACCAAUCGACGUACAAUUUUAUUUUUUAGACAAGUAUAGAGUGUUUAUAAUGAAAAAUUGUUGGAUAAUUAAAAAUAUAAUUUUGUCGCACGUGAAAUAAAAUUCUGUCAUUCUUAAAUCUAAUUAACAAUUCAUUAUUAUUAGGUAUGUAUCGGGAUAUAAAAGCAAGCACCAGAAAAAAAUAUGCUGCCUUCUGAAUUAUAAGUAUACACUUAAGGACUAGUAAACAUCUGUAAUGUAUGAAUAUGUG